rnacentral:rRNA from 1 species
GACGAACGCUGGCGGCGUGCUUAACACAUGCAAGUCGAACGGAAAGGCCCUGCUUUUGUGGGGUGCUCGAGUGGCGAACGGGUGAGUAACACGUGAGUAACCUGCCCUUGACUUUGGGAUAACUUCAGGAAACUGGGGCUAAUACCGGAUAGGAGCUCCUGCUGCAUGGUGGGGGUUGGAAAGUUUCGGCGGUUGGGGAUGGACUCGCGGCUUAUCAGCUUGUUGGUGGGGUAGUGGCUUACCAAGGCUUUGACGGGUAGCCGGCCUGAGAGGGUGACCGGCCACAUUGGGACUGAGCUACGGCCCAGACUCCUACGGGCGGCAGCAGUGGGGAAUAUUGCACAAUGGGCGGAAGCCUGAUGCAGCAACGCCGCGUGCGGGAUGACGGCCUUCGGGUUGUAAACCGCUUUCGCCUGUGACGAAGCGUGAGUGACGGUAAUGGGUAAAGAAGCACCGGCUAACUCCGUG